rnacentral:pre_miRNA from 1 species
UGGACAGAUUAUUGUAUCCGACUGUAUUCAGGGCGUGAAACAGGGGAUUACACUGUUUUUAAACGGAAAGUGAAUCAGUUAACAUAAUAGACUCCU